rnacentral:rRNA from 1 species
AGAGUUUGAUCCUGGCUCAGAUUGAACGCUGGCGGCAGGCCUAACACAUGCAAGUCGAGCGGUAGCACAGAGAGCUUGCUCUCGGGUGACGAGCGGCGGACGGGUGAGUAAUGUCUGGGAAACUGCCUGAUGGAGGGGGAUAACUACUGGAAACGGUAGCUAAUACCGCAUAACGUCGCAAGACCAAAGUGGGGGACCUUCGGGCCUCAUGCCAUCAGAUGUGCCCAGAUGGGAUUAGCUAGUAGGUGGGGUAACGGCUCACCUAGGCGACGAUCCCUAGCUGGUCUGAGAGGAUGACCAGCCACACUGGAACUGAGACACGGUCCAGACUCCUACGGGAGGCAGCAGUGGGGAAUAUUGCACAAUGGGCGCAAGCCUGAUGCAGCCAUGCCGCGUGUGUGAAGAAGGCCUUCGGGUUGUAAAGCACUUUCAGCGGGGAGGAAGGCGUUAAGGUUAAUAACCUUGGCGAUUGACGUUACCCGCAGAAGAAGCACCGGCUAACUCCGUGCCAGCAGCCGCGGUAAUACGGAGGGUGCAAGCGUUAAUCGGAAUUACUGGGCGUAAAGCGCACGCAGGCGGUCUGUCAAGUCGGAUGUGAAAUCCCCGGGCUCAACCUGGGAACUGCAUUCGAAGCUGGCAGGCUAGAGUCUUGUAGAGGGGGGUAGAAUUCCAGGUGUAGCGGUGAAAUGCGUAGAGAUCUGGAGGAAUACCGGUGGCGAAGGCGGCCCCCUGGACAAAGACUGACGCUCAGGUGCGAAAGCGUGGGGAGCAAACAGGAUUAGAUACCCUGGUAGUCCACGCCGUAAACGAUGUCGAUUUGGAGGUUGUGCCCUUGAGGCGUGGCUUCCGGAGCUAACGCGUUAAAUCGACCGCCUGGGGAGUACGGCCGCAAGGUUAAAACUCAAAUGAAUUGACGGGGGCCCGCACAAGCGGUGGAGCAUGUGGUUUAAUUCGAUGCAACGCGAAGAACCUUACCUGGUCUUGACAUCCACAGAACUUUCCAGAGAUGGAUUGGUGCCUUCGGGAACUGUGAGACAGGUGCUGCAUGGCUGUCGUCAGCUCGUGUUGUGAAAUGUUGGGUUAAGUCCCGCAACGAGCGCAACCCUUAUCCUUUGUUGCCAGCGGUUAGGCCGGGAACUCAAAGGAGACUGCCAGUGAUAAACUGGAGGAAGGUGGGGAUGACGUCAAGUCAUCAUGGCCCUUACGACCAGGGCUACACACGUGCUACAAUGGCAUAUACAAAGAGAAGCGACCUCGCGAGAGCAAGCGGACCUCAUAAAGUAUGUCGUAGUCCGGAUUGGAGUCUGCAACUCGACUCCAUGAAGUCGGAAUCGCUAGUAAUCGUAGAUCAGAAUGCUACGGUGAAUACGUUCCCGGGCCUUGCACACACCGCCCGUC